GUUCCUAUAUUCUGUGCUCUGACAUGGCCCCGCCGGCCAUCGCCAGGGAGAGAAGCAUGAGAGGACUCUGCCUGGAAUGCUGUUCCUCCGAAUCUCCCCUACUUGAAACAUUUCUCAUGCUUCAGAGACCACCCGAAGAGCCAUGUCCUCUGCUGAAAGCUUCUUCCCCCUCUUCUGAGUUCCUGUGGCUCUCAGUGCCUGUCCUCUGCACCGGAAGUUUGUCACCUACUUCUGUGGAAACUAGAGAGUUUCUGCUUCAAGAUGUUGAAACGGAGACUCCAAGAGGAUGGUUUCUGAGCGUGAGUCCUAGCGUCAGCUACCAUCAGCAGCAGCAGCACAGCACGGAGCCAGAUCUCGGGCGCAGACACUCAUGGAGAGGCCACAGUUUAAUCAGCAAGCUGAGGCAAACCGUGUUUCAGGAGAAUUCACAAUAUAAGGUAGAAUGCGCAAGAAAAACACCCCGAAUUAGGAAUGAAAAGACCCAGCUUCCCAAAUCCCCUUUCUGACACUUCUUGCUUUGUGACCCUGGGUAAGUCACUCACCCUCAUGGCUCACUUUUCUCUUCUGUAAAAGACUUGCUUUCACGGGGCCAUUCCUGGCCUGUGAGAAAGCAAACUCCCCAAGGGCAGGAACCACGUCUGUCUUGUCCCUUGUGGAUUGUAUAUUGCAUUC
rnacentral:lncRNA from 1 species